GCCGCGGUAAAACCAGCACCUCAAGUGGUCAGGAUGAUUAUUGGGCCUAAAGCAUCCGUAGCCGGCUUUGUUAGUUUUCGGUUAAAUCCAUGUGCUCAACGCAUGGGCUGCCGAAAAUACUGCAUGGCUAGGGAGUGGGAGAGGUAGACGGUACUCAGUAGGAAGGGGUAAAAUCCUUUGAUCUAUUGAUGACCACCUGUGGCGAAGGCGGUCUACCAGAACACGUUCGACGGUGAGGGAUGAAAGCUGGGGGAGCAAACCGGAUUAGAUACCCGGGUAGUCCCAGCUGUAAACGAUGCAGACUCGAUGAUGCAUUGGCAUAAUAGCCAGUGCAGUGUCGCAGGGAAGCCGUUAAGUCUGCCGCCUGGGAAGUACGUACGCAAGUAUGAAACUUAAAGGAAUUGGCGGGGGAGCA
rnacentral:rRNA from 1 species